rnacentral:lncRNA from 1 species
GAAGUCUGGCGCCAGCAUGAAGAGGAGCUCGUCUCUCAGAUUCCCACAGUUUCAACAGCUCUCGGACCACCUUGCAGGACAGAUUGGGGCAGAGACAGACAAUGAUGGCUGGCACCACACUUUGAUCAGGACUACUCAGUGGUGUCUAUCUCUUGCCCUCUACUUAAAGCUCAUGUCAGGAUCCUGAGUACUUACAGGACUCCCUGGCUCCCUUUCCCAGUGUGGCCACAUGGCAGAGAUUUCCUUUUGUUGCUUUUCAUUAUAUCAUAAUUGGCCUACUGAGGAUGAGUUGCCCAGCCUGACUUGAUUGGCCCAGGCACAACUAACAAUUCCUGUAUCGCUGGGGCCUGAAUCUAUGGCCUUGCCCCUGUUGAGCAGGUGCUUCACCACUGAGCCACACCCUGCUGGACGCUCUUAGCAUCACGUGCCUUCUCUGAGAGGUGCUUUACCUACCCACCUCCUAUCGUUCCCUUACGUUCCCUGCUUCAUAGUCACAGCUCAAUUCGUGCCUGGCAGGGUUUCACCAAGGUCAUUGUGAGCACCUGAGCUGGCACUUCCUCUACUGCAGCUGGGGAUAAACAUCAGUCAAGGGGCAAUUCUGCCUACCUGAAAUGCUCCUCCAACGGCUUCAAGGGAGGUACCACCAGUCCAAGAAGGCCCACAUCUGCUGGUUUAGAUGACUUGCAAGCUAUGAGGCUGUUUUCCAGACCUUCUAGGACCUUAGAUGUUCUGGCCUACACACAGGCAGGACACGUGGCUGUCUUCACACUGUUCACCUUCUCUGGUGCUAUCAAGCAUUCUCUGUGGACCCCAUGGGAUGUUAGCUGCCUGGCUUAAGUUGGGGUAUCACAUUUCUAACUACUCCUGAUCACAUGGAGGCCCUUAAUGUGAUCAUGGAUCUAUCCACUGGCAGAUGAGGAAGAUGCAUAAUGAAACUCAUCAGAUUUUGUUUU